UUCAAGUUCCUCAACAAAGCAUUGCUCGCCCCAGAUAGUAUAAUGGAAGGUCAAGAGAAAAGUCGUGUCAGCGACGUCAACGAAACAAAGGCAUUGUUAAGACUUAUUCCAAUAUGGGCUACAAGCUUGGCAUAUGCAAUUGUGUUUUCACAAACAACUACUUUCUUUACAAAGCAAGGAGUUACAAUGGACAGAACAAUUUUCACAGGAUUCAAAAUUCCGG
rnacentral:misc_RNA from 1 species